rnacentral:rRNA from 1 species
CCAAUAGCGUAUAUUAAAGUUGUUGCAGUUAAAAAGCUCGUAGUUGAAUUUCGGGGUCAGUAGGUUGGUCGUGCCACUGGUAUGUACUGGCUUCACUGAUUCCUCCCUCUUGUAGAACCGUAAUGCCAUUAAUUUGGUGUUGCGGGGAAACAGGACUGUUACUUUGAAAAAAUUAGAGUGUUUAAAGCAGGCUAACGCUUGAAUACAUUAGCAUGGAAUAAUGAAAUAGGACGUUUGAUCCUAUUUUGUUGGUUUCUAGGAUUGACGUAAUGAUUAAUAGUGAUAGUUGGGGGCAUUAGUAUUCAAUUGUCAGAGGUGAAAUUCUUGGAUUUAUUGAAGACUAACUACUGCGAAAGCAUUUGCCAAGGAUGUUUUCAUUAAUCAAGAACGAAAGUUAGGGGAUCGAAGACGAUCAGAUACCGUCGUAGUCUUAACCAUAAACUAUGCCGACUAGGGAUCGGAUGAUGUUAAUUUUUUAAUGACUCAUUCGGCGCCUUACG